rnacentral:lncRNA from 1 species
UAUUAUUACACUUUUAAGUAUUAGGGUACAUGUGCACAAUGUGCAGGUUAGUUACAUAUGUAUACAUGUGCCAUGCUGGCGUGUUGCACCCAUUAACUCGUCAUUUAGCAUUAGGGAUAUCUCCUAAUGCUAUCCCUCCCCGCUUCCCCCACCGCACAACAGUCCCCAGAGUGUGAUGUUCCCCUUCCUGUGUCCAUGUGUUCUCAUUGUUCAAUUCCCAUCUAUGAGUGAGAACGUGCGGUGUUCGGUUUUUUGUCCUUGCGAUAGUUUACUGAGAAUGAUGAUUUCCAAUUUCACCCAUGUCCCUACAAAGGACAUGAACUCAUCAUUUUUUAUGGCUGCAUAGUAUUCCAUGGUGUGUAUGUGCCACAUUUUCUUAAUCCAGUCUAUCAAUGUCCAACAAAGAUUUGGCUUUCUUUUCAUUUAGAAAGAAGCUCUCACAGUGGAAGACUAUAAUAUGACAUAAGAAGAAAUGUGGACUUGGAGAUACAGAAGAGACAGGGUCUCGCUCUGUUACCCAGGCUGGAGUGUAGUGGCACGAUCUAAGGUCACUGCAACCUCCGCCUCUGGGGUUCAAGCCUCCCACCUCAGCCUACCAAGCAACUGGGACUACAGCAAAAUAAAAUAAGAAGUUUAAACCAGGCCAGGCGCAGUGGCUCACACCUGUAAUCCCAGCACUUUGGGAGGCCGAGGAGGGUGGAUCACCUGAGGUCAGGAGUUCGAGACCAGCCUGACCAACAUGGAGAAACCCCAUCACUACUAAAAAUACAAAAUCAGCCAGGCAUGGUGGUGCACGCCUGUAAUCCCAGCUACUCGGAAGGCUAAGGCAGAAGAAUCACUUGAACCCGGGAGGCAGAGGCUGCAGUGAGCUGAGAUCAUGCCACUGCACUCCAGCCUGGGCAACAAGAGCAAAACUUCGUCUCAAAAAAAAAAAAAGAAGUUUAAAACACAGUACACAAGAUCCCUGAAGAAAGACUCUACAUUAUUUCUAGGCUAUAUACCACUACACAUUCUUCCAGACAUACUUUGGACAGAUUACUACAUAAGGCUCAAAGAUAUACAUAGUUUCUUUUUAUAUAUUUACGCUAUUGUCACAGCCUAAAAUCAAUUUAUUAUAUAAUGAUUUACUCUAUAGUUAUUUAUUGGGCACUAUAUCAAGCACAAGGAAUAUGGAAAUAAGUGAUCUACUGCCUGUUCUCAAAUGACUUACAAAUUAGUAGAGAAAGGAGAUAAUCUAGCAGCUAUCAUACUGAGUUGAUAGGGCUUAUUGUAGAGCAAUGACCAGGAUAUUAUGCGUACACAAAGAGAGACACCUGAGAUUCAAUCCAAGAAGGAAAAAGGAUGUAAAGAAGAAUUCCCAUGGAUAAGUGAGUACACAGCACAGAGUAAACUUUCAUUACAUAUAUCUGGUGAAAGAGUGACUGGGUAAAUGAAUUCAAAAUCUGAAGGAUUAACCAGAAGGAAAGGAGAACUGCCUUUAUGUAAAGUUAUAAAGGAAGGAGGGUACACAUACCAACUUCAGGGAAAACAAUUAGUUACGUAUCACUUAACUACAGAGGUACAUUCUGAGAAAUGCAUCAUUAGACAAUUUUGUUGUUUGUCAGCAUCACAGAGUGCACUUAUACAACCCUGAUAGUAUAGCCUACUACACACUUAGGCCUUAUCUUAUAGCCUAUUGCUCCUAGGUUACAUAGCUAUACAGCAUGUUACUGCACUGAAUACUAUAGGCAACUGUAACACAAUGGUAAGUAUUUGUGCAUUUAAACAUAGAAAAAGUACAGUAAAAAUAGGGUAUUAAAAUCUCAUAGGACUACCAUAGUAUAUGAGGUCCAUCAUCUACUGAAACAUCACUGUGUGGUGUAUGACCCAAGUUACGUAUGACUAGAGAAUGAUAUAGGUGGACGGACUACGAUCAAGAGCUACUAUACUAUAUGCCAGAAGAACGAACUUUAUCCUGAAAGUAAUGAGGAAUUAAACAUCAAUUGUAUAUCUGAUAUUUUUUUCUCUUUAUCCAGACUGUGCCCUCCAAGUCUUUAAAACUUCUUACCCAAAUGGGUGCAAUCAGCUAAGAUCUCAUUGGAAAGGGGUUCUAGAAUCUGAAAUGUAAAAGCUUUAGAUUACUGAAUCCAAAUUAUUAGGACAAACCUCUUAGAGGCCAGAAUCUGACUCUUAAGCUGUAUUUCUCCCAGUUGCCUCCCACCACAUGCUAUAUACUUCAGUCACUCACAAACACACAAUCCCUCAAAGAUUCCAUUCACUCCUAACUGCACUGCUCACUUUCUUCCUCCCACUUCCAAUUCCCUAGUCUAUUCCCAGUCUCUGUCCAGUAAAUUGCAUUCCUUCAUUAAAAUAAAGCUCAAAUGUGGGUUCUUUGAAAAUCCAUUGCCACUACCACCACCAAUAAUUAAAAUUUAUUUCUUUUUCUGAAUUACCAUUGCCAUUUCCAGUCUAAAUUACCAAAACAGGCUCUUACCUGUCUAAAAUGGGAGAAAGGAAAUUAACAUGAAUAUGUUAAAUCCUCACAACCACCUUGCGUGGCAAAUAUUACUGCCCCUAUUUUACAAGUAUAGAAACUGAUGCUGAAAGAUAUUAAGAUCACACAGCUAGUAAAAAGCAUAACUUUUAACUCAGGUUUGUUUUAACUACAAAGGCUCUCUUUUUCAACUACAGUAGCCCCCUUCCACUUUAUUCAUGGGGGAUACAUUCUAAGAUGCCAACCACAAAUAAUACCAAACCCACAUAUAUAUCCCAUUCUACAUAAUACAUAUCUAUAUACUAUAUCUAUAUCUAUAUAUACAUAUAUAUAUGGUUUUUUUCCUUGAACUUUGUUUUUUUGGAGGAGUCUUGCUCUGUCUCCCAGACGAUCACAGCUCACUGCAAACUCCGCCUCCUGGGUUCAAGUGAUUCUUCCACCUCAGCCUCCUGAACAGCUGGGUCCACAGGCACGUGCCACCACACCUGGCUAAUUUUUGUAUUUUUAGUAGAGAUGGGCUUUUACCAUGUUGGCCAGGUGAGUCUCCAACUCCUGACCUCAAAUGAUUUGCGUACCUCAGCCUCCCAAAGUGGUGAAAUUAUAGGGGUGCCUGGCCUGCGUCUUUUCUUCCUAUACAUACAUACCUAUGACAAAGUUUAAUUUAUAAAUUAGGCACAGAAGACAGGGGGCCCCAACCCCCAGGGCAUGGACUCGUAGCGGUCCAUGACCUGUUAGGAACCGGGCUACGCAGCAGGAGGUAAGCGGCCAGCAACUGAGCAAAGCUGAGCUCCACCUCCUGUCAGAUCAGCGGCGGCAUUAGAUUCUCAUAGGAAUGUAAACCCUAUUGUGAAUCACACAUGAGAGUGAUCUAGGCUGCACACUCCUUAUGAGAAUUUAAUGAUAUAUGUAACAAGCUUGAAUCAUUCCAAAACCAUUCCUCCAUCCCCCAGUCUGUGGAAAAAUUGUCUUCGACGAAACCAGUCCCUGGCACCAAAAAGGUUGGGGACCACUGCAGUAAGAGAUUAACAAUAACUAAUAAUAAAAUAGAACAACUAGGCUGGGCACAGUGGCUCAUGCCUGAAAUCCAAGAUUAGCCUGGCCAACACAGUGAAACAGCAUCUCUACCAAAAAAUACAAAAUUAGCCAGGUAUGGUGGUACACGCCUGUAGUCCCAGCUACUCUAGAGGCUGAGGCAGGAGAAUCACUUGAACCCGGGAGGAAGAGGCUGUAGUGAGCCGAGAUUGCACCACUGCAUUCCAGCCUGGGCAACUGAGUGAGACCCUUCUCAAAAAAAAUAAAUAAUAAAUAAUAAAACAAUUAUAACAAUACACUGUAAUAAAAUGUAUGUGCAUGUGGUCUCUGUCUGAAAACAUCUUACUGUACUAUACUCAACUAUCUUUGGGUAACUGAAGCUGC